UAUGAGCUAUUAAUAUAAAGUCUAGCCUGCCCACUGAGUAAUUAAAGGGCUGCAGUAAUUUGACUGUGCAAAGGUAGCAUAAUCAGUAGUCUUUUAAUUGAAGGCUUGAAUGAAUGGCUGGAUGAGGGAGAAACUGUCUUUUUGGUAAAUUAAAAUUUGACUUUUAAGUGAAAAGGCUUAAAUUUAUUAAGGGGACGAUAAGACCCUAUAAAACUUAAUAUUUAUUUAUAUUUUGUUUUUAAAUUUUAAAUAAACUUUACAAAGUUUAGUAUAUAUUUUGUUGGGGAGACAUUGACAUAAUUAAUAACUGUCUAAUUUAAAUGUUUAUAGCUAUUGUUAUUAUAUGAUCCUUCUUUGAAGGAUAAAAAGAGCAAGUUACUUUAGGGAUAACAGCGUAAUUUUUUCUGAGAGUUCUUAUCGAAGAAAAUAGUUGCGACCUCGAUGUUGAAUUAAAAUUUCUGUUAGGUGUAGCCGUUUAACAAGUAGGUCUGUUCGACCUUUUAAAUUUUACAUGAUUUGAGUUCAAACCGGU
rnacentral:rRNA from 1 species